UUCCGCCCUCUUCCACCUAGGUUUUGGCAAUCUCCGGACAGGCAAUGAAAAAGGUGGGCGCAGUUGUGCGCAGGCGCAGACAACAGAGUGCGCAGGCGCAGUCCAUAGUGCAGUGCUCAGGGCGACGUGGCGGGCGGGAGUACGGAAGCCGCAGGGAGAAGCUGUUCUCACCGCUACUCUGAGCAUCUUCCUGCUGCGUGGAGCUACCGCUGACACCAUGUUGAAGAAAUUCGACAAGAAGGACGAGGAGUCUGGUGGAGGCUCCAACCCCCUCCAGCACCUGGAGAAGAGUGCCGUACUCCAAGAGGCUCGGGUCUUUAACGAAACUCCCAUCAAUCCCCGGAAAUGUGCUCACAUCCUCACCAAGAUCCUUUAUCUCAUAAACCAGGGGGAGCACCUGGGGACCACGGAAGCAACUGAGGCUUUCUUUGCCAUGACCAAGCUCUUCCAGUCCAAUGAUCCCACACUCCGCCGCAUGUGCUAUUUGACCAUCAAGGAGAUGUCCUGCAUCGCUGAGGAUGUCAUCAUUGUGACAAGCAGCCUGACAAAAGACAUGACUGGGAAAGAGGAUAAUUACCGCGGUCCUGCUGUCCGUGCCCUCUGCCAGAUCACUGACAGCACCAUGCUGCAGGCUGUUGAACGCUACAUGAAACAAGCAAUUGUGGACAAGGUUCCCAGUGUCUCCAGCUCCGCCCUCGUGUCUUCCCUGCACCUGCUGAAAUGCAGCUUCGAUGUGGUCAAGCGCUGGGUGAACGAGGCCCAGGAGGCGGCGUCCAGUGACAACAUCAUGGUCCAGUACCAUGCCCUAGGACUUCUGUACCAUGUGCGGAAGAAUGACCGACUGGCCGUGAGUAAGAUGAUCAGUAAGUUCACCCGGCACGGCCUCAAGUCCCCCUUUGCCUACUGCAUGAUGAUCCGAGUGGCCAGCAAGCAACUAGAGGAAGAAGACGGCAGCCGUGACAGCCCGCUGUUUGACUUCAUCGAGAGCUGCCUGCGUAACAAGCAUGAGAUGGUGGUGUAUGAAGCUGCCUCAGCCAUUGUCAACCUGCCAGGCUGCAGUGCCAAAGAGCUGGCCCCUGCUGUGUCAGUGCUCCAGCUUUUCUGUAGCUCACCCAAGGCUGCACUUCGCUAUGCUGCUGUGCGCACCCUCAAUAAGGUGGCUAUGAAGCACCCUUCAGCGGUGACUGCCUGCAAUCUAGAUCUGGAAAACCUGGUUACAGACUCAAACAGGAGCAUCGCCACAUUGGCCAUCACCACCCUGCUCAAGACAGGGAGCGAGAGCAGCAUUGACCGCCUUAUGAAGCAGAUUUCCUCCUUCAUGUCGGAGAUCUCAGAUGAGUUCAAGGUGGUGGUUGUCCAGGCCAUCAGUGCCCUGUGCCAGAAGUAUCCUCGAAAGCAUGCUGUGCUCAUGAACUUCCUGUUCACCAUGCUAAGGGAAGAGGGUGGCUUUGAGUACAAGCGUGCCAUUGUGGACUGCAUCAUCAGCAUCAUCGAGGAGAACUCAGAGAGCAAGGAGACAGGAUUGUCACACCUGUGCGAGUUCAUUGAGGACUGCGAGUUCACUGUGCUGGCCACCCGCAUCCUGCACCUGUUGGGCCAGGAGGGGCCCAAGACCAACAACCCUUCCAAGUACAUUCGCUUUAUCUACAACCGUGUGGUCUUGGAGCAUGAAGAAGUUCGGGCAGGUGCAGUAAGUGCUCUGGCCAAGUUUGGAGCUCAGAACGAAGAGAUGUUGCCUAGUAUCUUGGUGUUGCUGAAGAGGUGUGUGAUGGACGACGACAAUGAAGUGAGAGACAGAGCCACCUUCUAUCUGAACGUUCUGGAACAGAAGCAGAAGGCUCUCAACGCAGGUUACAUCCUAAAUGGUCUGACCGUGUCCAUCCCUGGUCUGGAGAAAGCCCUGCAGCAGUACACACUCGAACCAUCAGAGAAGCCAUUUGACCUCAAGUCUGUGCCUCUGGCCACCACGCCUAUGGCAGAGCAGAGACCAGAAAGCACCGCCACCGCAGCAGUCAAACAGCCGGAGAAGGUAGCAGCCACACGGCAGGAGAUUUUCCAAGAGCAGCUAGCAGCGGUGCCUGAGUUCCAGGGACUAGGGCCUCUCUUCAAGUCCUCUCCUGAGCCAGUGGCCCUCACAGAGUCCGAGACCGAGUAUGUCAUCCGUUGCACCAAACACACCUUCUCUGAUCACUUGGUGUUCCAGCAACAUCUGAACCCCACUCCACCUUAUCCAGUUUGACUGCACAAACACCCUCAAUGACCAGACUCUGGAGAAUGUCACAGUGCAGAUGGAGCCCACUGAGGCAUACGAAGUGCUCUCGUAUGUGCCUGCGCGGAGCUUGCCCUACAACCAGCCUGGGACCUGCUACACACUAGUGGCUCUGCCCACUGAAGACCCCACAGCUGUGGCAUGCACGUUCAGCUGUGUGAUGAAGUUCACUGUUAAGGACUGUGAUCCCAACACAGGAGAAAUCGAUGAAGAAGGCUAUGAGGAUGAGUAUGUGCUGGAGGAUCUGGAAGUUACUGUGGCUGAUCACAUCCAAAAAGUCAUGAAAGUGAACUUUGAGGCAGCCUGGGAUGAGGUUGGGGAUGAAUUUGAGAAGGAGGAAACGUUCACCCUGUCUACUAUCAAGACACUCGAAGAGGCUGUGGGCAAUAUUGUGAAGUUCCUGGGAAUGCAUCCUUGUGAGAGGUCAGACAAAGUGCCAGAAAACAAGAACACCCACACGCUGCUGCUAGCUGGAGUAUUCCGGGGUGGUCAUGACAUCCUUGUGCGUUCUCGGCUUCUGCUUUUGGACACAGUGACGAUGCAGGUGACAGCCAGAAGCUCAGAGGAGCUGCCAGUAGAUAUCAUCUUGGCAUCCGUGGGCUAGAGGUGGCCUAAGCCCCACUCCUAUCUUGUCCAACACUACGUCGAAGCCACUUCUUCCCUGUGAAGCCGGUGGAAACCCUUCCCCAGACCACUGUGUUAAGAAACAAUCAAGAGUCAAUACAGAUUUUUUUUUUUAAUUCCAUCCUAUCAUUCAGGAAUGCUAGGGUAGAUUUUGUCACCAUGCCUGCAAGGAGAGACAAAUGAAUAAAAUGUUCAGACUUUCUCUUAAUAUUUAUACUCAAAGAAACCGUCUCAUCCCUAUGAUAAGUCAGCAUGUAUUUCUUGAAUAACUGCUGCUUCUGCAGGCUCGUGCUCAGGGCCUCCACUUCUCCCUGAGGCCUCCCUUCACCAAAUGGAGCGUGUGCAUAGCCCCUCGGGACUGUCAGUGCCAAGCUUAGGGUGGGGUUAAAGGCUAGCCGAAUGACAACAGCUAGCAGGUCUGGUAAGCCACUCAUCUACAGGCAUCUGUAGAUGGAUGGGUGUCCAAAGGUCCUUAGAGGGUGUCAUGAUCUGCUCUGGGUCUAUGAGUGGGAAAAACAGUAUCUGCAUUCCUUUUGGGCUGGAGUAAGAAAUCCUAGGGGAUGCUUCAGGGCUUGGGCUUUAAACUCAAAUCAGGUGGUUUAAACUGUUGGAAACACUUGAAGAACUGGACCUCCUGUGAGGCUACUCAGAUGGCUCAGCAGGUAAAGGUACCUAUCAGGACGGACUACCCACUUGGUAGAAGGAGAGGACCAUUUUGCAAUAGUUGCCGCCUAACCUCAUGCACACCUGUAUACUGUAUGCACAUGCACAUGUACACAUUAGAACAGAGGCCUGCACCUUUAAGCCGAAUCCCAUAACAUGAAGACAUCAGGCUACACUUGAGCAUCGUUAAGCUGUUUUAGCUAUGGCCUAUUUCAUGACUGGUCCUGGCUCCACCAUGUACUUGGUCAGGCAUGCAGUGGUGAACUAAGUAACGUGGUGUGAAACUUCCUAACAGGUUAUAAAGAGAUUUCUCAUUUGGGGGGUUUUCUCAAGUAGGUGACCUGAAGGCUGCUCCCUAAAGACAUCCCUCUGUCCCCCACCUUCCAUCCCUCUCCUGGGGACUGAGCAGUUGCUCUUGCCUGGCCUCUCUGCCUCAUUCCAUCCCUUUAUGAAGGCCUCUCCAGGCUUUAAAGGAAAGCCUGACCUUCAAGGCCACAUCCUGCUUAGCCCUUCCUGACUGUAUUCUUCCUGCCUAAUACCCUCCCCUUCUACUCCCAGGCCUGGUCAUAGCCUGGAAGCCAUUCCAUUCAAAUAAACUUCAUUAAAGAAA